AUUGAACGCUGGCGGCAGGCCUAACACAUGCAAGUCGAACGAGUGGCGGACGGGUGAGUUAUGUCUGGGAACCUGCCCGAUGGAGGGGGAUAACUACUGGAAACGGUAGCUAAUACCGCAUACCAUCGGAUGUGCACAGAUGGGAUUAGCUAGUAGGUGGUGUAAUGGCCCACCUAGGCGACGACCCCUAGCUGGUCUGAGAGGAUGAACAGCCACACGGGAACUGAGACACGGUCCAGACUCCUACGGGAGGCAGCAGUGGGGAAUAUUGCACAAUGGGCGCAAGCCUGAUGCAGCCAUGCCGCGUGUAUGAAGAAGGCCUUCGGGUUGUAAAGUACUUUCAGCGGUGAGGCGUUACCCGCAGAAGAAGCACCGGCUAACUCCGUGCCAGCAGCCGCGGUAAUUC
rnacentral:rRNA from 1 species